AACGAUACGGGACUCAUCCGAGGCCCCGUAAUCGGAAUGAUUACACUUUAAAUCCUUUAACAAGGAUCCAUUGGAGGGCAAGUCUGGUGCCAGCAGCCGCGGUAAUUCCAGCUCCAAUAGCGUAUAUUAAAGCUGUUGCGGUUAAAAAGCUCGUAAUUGGUUCUGUGUGCCACGCUGUUGGUUCACCGCCUGUCGGUGUAACUGACAUGUCGUGGGACGUCCUGUCGGUGGUAAUUGAACUGGCCAACUUUACAGUAGCCUGUCUUCUGUAUAAUGUUGGUUAUGUUCAAUUGCCGAUUAAACCUGCCGCGGUGCUCUUUACUGAGUGUCGAGGAAGGCCGACAUGUUUACUUUGAACAAAUUAGAGUGAUUAAAGCAGGCAAAUAUUUGCCUGAAUAGUAGUGCAUGGAAUAAUAGAAUAAGACUUUGGUUCUGUUUUGUUGGUUUUUCGGAAUCCAAGGUAAUGAUCAAUAUGGACGGUCGGGGGCAUUCGUAUUGCGACGUUAGAGGUGAAAUUCUUGGAUCGUCGCAAGACGAACUAGAGCGAAAGCAUUUGCCAAGUAUGUCUUAAUUGAUCAAGAACGAAAGUUAGAGGUUCGAAGGCGAUCAGAUACCGCCCUAGUUCUAACCAUAAACGAUGUCAGCCAGCAAUCCGCCGAGUUUUUUUCAUGACUCGACGGGCGGCUUACGGGAAACCAAAGCUUUUGGGUUCCGGGGGAAGUAUGGUUGCAAAGCUGAAACUUAAAGGAAUUGACGGAAGGGCACCACCAGGAGUGGAGCCUGCGGCUUAAUUUGACUCAACACGGGAAACCUCACCAGGCCCAGACAUUGAAAGGAUUGACAGACUGAUAGCUC
rnacentral:rRNA from 1 species